rnacentral:rRNA from 1 species
AACGAACGCUGGCGGCAUGCCUAACACAUGCAAGUCGAACGAGAUCUUCGGGUCUAGUGGCGCACGGGUGCGUAACGCGUGGGAAUCUGCCCUUUGGUUCGGAAUAACAGUUGGAAACGACUGCUAAUACCGGAUGAUGACGAAAGUCCAAAGAUUUAUCGCCAGAGGAUGAGCCCGCGUAGGACUAGCUAGUUGGUGUGGUAAAGGCGCACCAAGGCGACGAUCCUUAGCUGGUCUGAGAGGAUGAUCAGCCACACUGGGGCUGAGACACGGCCCAGACUCCUACGGGAGGCAGCAGUGGGGAAUAUUGGACAAUGGGCGAAAGCCUGAUCCAGCAAUGCCGCGUGAGUGAUGAAGGCCUUAGGGUUGUAAAGCUCUUUUACCCGGGAUGAUAAUGACAGCACCGGGAGAAUAAGCUCCGGCUAACUCCGUGCCAGCCGCCGCCGUAAAAC